rnacentral:rRNA from 1 species
UACGGGGGGGGCAAGCGUUGUUCGGAAUUACUGGGCGUAAAGGGCUCGUAGGUGGCCAACUAAGUCAGACGUGAAAUCCCUCAGCUUAACUGGGGAACUGCGUCUGAUACUGGAUGGCUUGAAUCCGGGAGAGGGAUGCAGAAUUCCAGGUGUAGCGGUGAAAUGCGUAGAUAUCUGGAGGAAUACCGGUGGCGAAGGCGGCAUCCUGGACCGGCAUUGACGCUGAUGAGCGAAAGCUAGGGGAGCAAACGGG